rnacentral:rRNA from 1 species
GACGAACGCUGGCGGCGUGCUUAACACAUGCAAGUCGAGCGGUAAGGCCCUUUCGGGGGUACACGAGCGGCGAACGGGUGAGUAACACGUGGGUGACCUGCCCUCAGCUCUGGGAUAAGCCUGGGAAACCGGGUCUAAUACUGGAUAUGACUCCAUGACGCAUGUUGUGGGGUGGAAAGCCUUGUGCGGCUGGAGGAGUCGGGCCCGCGG